AACGCACAUUGCGCCCCUUGGUAUUCCGAGGGGCAUGCCUGUUCGAGCGUCAUUACACCCCUCAAGCACUGCUUGGUAUUGGGUCCCGCGGCUUACCCCGUGGGCCUUAAAAUCAGUGGCGGCGUCUUCAGGCUCUGAACGUAGUAAACAUUCCUCGUUACAGAGUCCUGGUGGCGGUAGCCAUCAACCUUCAAACUUUCUAAGUUUGACCUCGGAUCAGGUAGGGAUACCCGCUGAACUUAA
rnacentral:misc_RNA from 1 species